rfam:Solanum lycopersicum cultivar Heinz 1706 chromosome 6, whole genome shotgun sequence.
UUUUCCUUUGGAGACAUCCAAUAAAAUUAGAACAAUAUAAAGAAGAUUAGCAUGAUCCAUGCGUAAUAAUAACACACAAAUCUAGAAAUGGUCCAAAUAUCU